AGAGUUUGAUCCUGGCUCAGAACGAACGCUGGCGGCAUGCCUAACACAUGCAAGUCGAACGGGGAUCAUGGCUUCGGUCAUGACCCUAGUGGCGGACGGGUGAGUAACACGUGGGAAUCUGCCCUAGAGUGGGGAACAACCGCUGGAAACGGCGGCUAAUACCGCAUACGCCCUUAGGGGGAAAGGCUCGCAAGAGUCGCUCAAGGAGGAGCCCGCGUCCGAUUAGCUAGUUGGUGGGGUAAAGGCUCACCAAGGCUACGAUCGGUAGCUGGUCUGAGAGGAUGGUCAGCCACACUGGGACUGAGACACGGCCCAGACUCCUACGGGAGGCAGCAGUGGGGAAUUUUGGACAAUGGGGGAAACCCUGAUCCAGCGAUGCCGCGUGAGUGAUGAAGGCCUUAGGGUUGUAAAGCUCUUUCGCCCGUGACGAUGAUGACGGUAACGGAUAGAGCCC
rnacentral:rRNA from 1 species